GCACCAGACUUGCCCUCCAAUAGAUCCUCGUUAAAGGAUAUAAAGUGUACUCAUUCCAAUUACAGGGCCUCGAAAGAGUCCUGUAUUGUUAUUUUUCGUCACUACCUCCCCGCGUCGGGAGUGGGUAAUUUGCGAGCCUGCUGCCUUUCUUGGAUGUGGUAGCCGUUUCUCAGGCUCCCUCUCCGGAAUCGAACCCUGAUUCCCCGUUACCCGUGGUCACCAUGGUAGGAGCAGAAAUUACCAUCGAAAGUUGAUAGGGCAGACAUCCGAAUGCGUUGUCGCUGUCAAGGGGACAUGCGAUCGGCCC